rfam:Pteropus alecto contig71724, whole genome shotgun sequence.
CCUUUAGUUUUGAGGUUGGUGUACUGUGUGUGAGUAUAUACAUUUAUCACACACAGUCACUAUCUUCGAAAGUGAGGGUGC